rnacentral:lncRNA from 1 species
AGCAGGCAAAAUAAUAAUAAUAAUAAUAAUAAUUGAACUGCUCUGCAAUAUGAUUGUAGAUACAGAUUAUUUGAAACAUUGUUGAUUCGAAACCAAUGAGGAAAUGGAAUUUUGCAAGAAUAUUCGAAAAAAAGGGACCAAAAAAAUUCUCCACUACCGUUGAGAAGAAUAACAAAUAUGAUUCUUACACAAAAAAAUUGGUCAAUUUUUAUAGAGAAAUCAUAUUUCUUGAGCUCAAAGAUCUUAACCUCUUCCUUUACGCCGUUAACAUAAGUUCCAGAUUAUAAAAUGAGGAAACAAAAAUAUAUAGAAACCUUCAUUUCUCAAACCUUAUCAUGUACCAGAAAUCAACGAAUUCCAAACAAUCAAGUUCCUCAAGCUCAUCCGAUCAAAAAUCCCUCGUCUCGAUAUCGCCCUUCUUAAAAUACCCAUAUAUCAUCACUAACCAAACAUAAAAAUUCCAUUACGUCAUUUUCUCAAACAUUUCCCACGCAGAGAAUCAAAGUUAUAUCUAAUACAUAUCUAGCAAUUCACAAAAUUGGUAAAGCCGCUUCUUGUUGGAACAACGAGGUCGCCUCUAGGCUCUUGGAAGUAGGAGAAGCCGAUCCGCCCAGAGGUGAUUGCAGCUGCAAAGGAGUUGCGACGAAUGGUGGUGUUGCCAUAAACUUGUAAGAAAGCCCCAUUGGUCGAUGGAGGUGAAAAGAUGCACCUAUAUAUGCUCGGUAGGCUGCUGGCCCAAAUAUAGUGGGGGCGACAUCCUUGACAUCACCAUGUUUCUACUCUUUUCUGUCAAUUACGGUAAUGAAAAUGGGAAAAGGUUGAAGAAACACCACCAUGUUUCUCUCUUUACGUUUUGAGGUUUGAGUCUUUUGGAUGUAUUAAUUAAGUUUCAAAUUGCUUAAUUAGUUUUAAAUGGUAUUAUUCAAUUUUGUAACUUUUGGAUCGUAUUGGGCCUAAUUUCCUCUAUUGGUUUUCUGCCUGACCCGACCCUUUCACUUUCAUUUUGGGCCGUUUUUACUUGGUUUUUC